AUUGAACGCUGGCGGCAUGCUUUACACAUGCAAGUCGAACGGCAGCGCGGGCUUCGGCCUGGCGGCGAGUGGCGAACGGGUGAGUAAUACAUCGGAACGUGCCCAGUAGUGGGGGAUAGCUCGGCGAAAGCCGGAUUAAUACCGCAUACGACCUGAGGGUGAAAGCGGGGGAUCUUCGGACCUCGCGCUAUUGGAGCGGCCGAUGGCAGAUUAGCUAGUUGGUGGGGUAAAGGCCUACCAAGGCGACGAUCUGUAGCUGGUCUGAGAGGACGACCAGCCACCCUGGGAGUGAGACACGGCCCAGACUCCUACGGGAGGCAGCAGUGGGGAAUUUUGGACAAUGGGCGAAAGCCUGAUCCAGCAAUGCCGCGUGUGUGAUGAAGGCCUUCGGGUUGUAAAGCACUUUUGGCGGGAACGAAAAGGACUGUGCCAAUACCACGGUUCGAUGACGGUACCCGCAGAAUAAGCACCGGCCAACUACGUG
rnacentral:rRNA from 1 species